GGGGAGAGGGGGAUAGGUAGCUACUGCUGUAGCUUCCUUUUCGUAAGGUGGGCUCUUUCCUUUGGUUCAGUUACGCUUGUUCUCUUCCUUGUUGUGUGUUUUUGCAACGACCAAUAAGGGGUGGGAAGAGGCGGGUGGUUAGUAGGAGGAGGUGGUGUUGAGGCCUAACGGCACCGGUAGGUCCUGGUCCUGCGCUGAGGAGAGCAGACGCCCAAACAAGAACGCCUGGUACCUGCUGCGCCUGUAUCUAAAGUGGUUAGGUCUCUGCAUGGGCGCGGGCCGGUACCUGUCGAUGAAGCUGCUGCAGGACUUUCUGUGCGUCGUGCGGACGACGUUGGGCGUACAGCUCCUGGAACGGGUGGUGCGCGUGUGGACGCAGGUACAGGUGUGAUUCUAGGUGGGCCGUCUCAGGCUGCUACAGCGCCUCUGUAGGCUCAGCGGCGUUGUCUUAUCGCCCCGGUUCUUCGCGGGAAGACCAUUAGCUCGUCGACACUCCUCCAUGGCACUGUUCUCCUUCCGGGCGUGUCGCAACGACCUCCUUCUCCACCGAGCGGAGUUCCGGAAUUUGUCCGUCGAGCACUCCUUCUAAGUCUCAGUGAGCCGCGAAGUCCGACUCCGGAGGUCCGAGGCGAUGGACGAACAGCUGUAAUCUCCCUCCUAGCUUCCUCUCGAGCCUCAAAAGGGAACGGUCGCCGGAUACUCUUUGUUGCUAAGCCGACUGGUCCCUUCAAAGGAACCACCACCACGGGUCGUCCAGUCCGAGUCUACGUUGCUCGGCGAGAUGGCGUCAAUACGUCCGGUGCUGUUACCUACUGCUACCACAAUACUCACCGCUCGACAACCCAGUUCGACGGCCACUGUAACGUUUAUUGGUCACCGAGGGUCCAAACGGGCUACUACAUUUCUCCACUUCCGUCCAAUCAAUAUGAAUAGAACACACAAGUCAUCUGUUUUUUAAAGAACAUGUUUACCGUUUCGCGGACGGAACAGGAUUUUUUAUUUCUCGAGAAAAAAAGAACUAUACUCUUCUCGAAAAGAAUAUCGUUGUAGUUAAACCCCGUUGACGAUCAAUGAAAACGGAAAGUUAUUCGACGAGUAUCGUAAUGACUUGGAAAAGGUCUUUGACUAGUAGUCACACCAUCAUAAUUAAGUCAAACAGUGAUCUGUGGUGACUUUUUAUUUCGCGUGCUAUCGCGGCGAUUAUCGUAAUGAUAUUGUACAUCUAUUAACACAGCUAUUUUUUUGGUCAAAUGUUACAUAGUGAUUAUCGUGUGAUAUCACGCGAUAUGGAACGAUUAUCGCAUUAAAUUCCCCGCCACGAUAAAACAUAUUAAGCGAUAAGAAAAGGAAUUAUCCGUGAGAUAAGUAAGUAAAGGACGGGUACUUGAAGUAUUACGUGGUCGGAACGGUAUAAAAAAUAACAUGAAAUCCAACAAAAUAUUACCCGGCAAUACUUGCCGAAAGUAAUCAUACGCCUAGACUAAGAGUUCAACCCUUAUCAUACGGUAACCAUUAUUGAUUACUGCCGUAUAUCACCUGUUCACAGAGGAACUAAGAAAGAACAUGUCUACUGGAAACAGGUAGAGAUCAGAAGUUCGGCUUUUUUUAUUCUAUUGUAGAGUCCAUAUCCUUCUACUAAACAUCGUGGACCCACGAGGUGGGGGAUUUACUUGUAAUUUAAGUUUUUGUUAUGACUCUUUAAACUUUAUUUUGACUUUAAAUCCCUAUAGUUUGAACCCACAGACUAGAUAAAGGCACACUUUAAUGUACUUUUUUAUAGUCCUUUGCAUAGGCACCGCUUUUCCUAUUUUUUAAGGAUACAUAUCUUUUUUGACAAACCUGCCUAAAAUCAAGCCUGUCAUAAAGAAGUGGUAUCUAUGCAAAAGACCAUAAAGUGCUUUGAAGUGUGUCUUCAUCUAACCUUUAGGUCCAAACUAUAGGAGUUUAAAGUCAUAAAAACCCAUAAAAAAUGUCAAUUAUUAGCAUAUCCCUACACUUCGUGGGUACUCGAGGACACAUAAAAGGGAGCCCAUAUUACGAUCAUAUUACGUUAUAUACGGCACGUCUAUCAGUAUUCGAUAUAGGUCAUGAACGCUCAACGUUACAUGAGGGAGACAUUUGUUUACUUUUUGUAAAAUCCAGUGAGUUCAUCACUGGAUUUUGUAGAAUAUAAACAAAUGCCUCCCUCAUGGAUAUUGAUCAAAACAAGUAGAUCGAUUCAAUGCUGCGUGUUUGGUAAAGAAUACUUCUCUAAUAAAACUAGUAAUAGUAAAGACAUAGAUUUUACACACACGCUUAUUAACGAAGUCCUGAGCUCGUUAUGAGUACGAUGAAAAGGAGAUUUUUAAUGAGUACGAUGACGAAAGUAAAAAGUAGUAUAAAAGACAGAGAUGUUCACAAACACGCCUACGUAACAAGCCCUGAGCUCAUUGUGUGAACCACGACUAAAAGAGAAAGUUCUGUACGGCUUGUCGAAUAGAAGAGAAACGACCCCUGAUAACCAAAGACACAUGUUCCUUCUGAUGCAAACAACGAAUAUAGCCGGCCCAACACAAACCAAGUUUGACGCCAUAACGGCUACUACGGACUCCGCGACGUUCAACCUAUCGAGACUGCGAUGGUCCUCACCCGUACAGGCAAGUGCAACGUAACAAGACAAAAGCCAAUACGAGUACCUCAAAACUGUCGGAACGAAGACCAGGAUCUACGGAGGAACGUUACACAUCUAUGUAUGGCGUAAGGUUCAAUAACACUUAUUAUCUCUAAAGACGUAGGUACCCAACACGAUCAAAUGUAAAAAAAAUGAGGAGAUAAAAACUCUACAAUGACUUAUCGAUUUUUAGUGUCACAGACUGGGGAGAUACAAACACUUAUUAUUUCUAGUGUUAUGUCUUUAUCUUCUCGAAUAAAAAAU
rnacentral:rRNA from 1 species